GCCGCGGUAAUACGAAGGGACCUAGCGUAGUUCGGAAUUACUGGGCUUAAAGAGUUCGUAGGUGGUUGAAAAAGUUGGUGGUGAAAUCCCAGAGCUUAACUCUGGAACUGCCAUCAAAACUUUUCAGCUAGAGUUUGAUAGAGGAAAGCAGAAUUUCUAGUGUAGAGGUGAAAUUCGUAGAUAUUAGAAAGAAUACCAAUUGCGAAGGCAGCUUUCUGGAUCAUUACUGACACUGAGGAACGAAAGCAUGGGUAGCGAAGAGGAUUAGAUACCCUCGUAGUCCAUGCCGUAAACGAUGUGUGUUAGACGUUGGAAAUUUAUUUUCAGUGUCGCAGCGAAAGCGAUAAACACACCGCCUGGGGAGUACGACCGCAAGGUUAAAACUCAAAUGAAUUGACGGGGACCCGCACAAGUAGUGGAGCAUGUGGUUUAAUUCGAAGAUACGCGCAGAACCUUACCAACACUUGACAUGUUCGUCGCGACUUUAAGAGAUUAAAGUUUUCGGUUCGGCCGGACGAAACACAGGUGCUGCAUGGCUGUCGUCAGCUCGUGUCGUGAGAUGUUGGGUUAAGUCCCGCAACGAGCGCAACCCUCACUUUUAGUUGCCAUCAUUAAGUUGGGCACUCUGAAAGAACUGCCAGUGAUAAGCUGGAGGAAGGUGGGGAUGACGUCAAGUCCUCAUGGCCCUUACGUGUUGGGCUACACACGUGCUACAAUGGUAUUUACAAAAGGAAGCAAGACGGCGACGUUUAGCAAAUCCUUAAAAAAUACCUCAGUUCGGAUUGCACUCUGCAACUCGAGUGCAUGAAGCUGGAAUUACUAGUAAUCGUGGAUCAGCGUGC
rnacentral:rRNA from 1 species